rnacentral:rRNA from 1 species
UACGUAGGCAGCGAGCGUUGUUCGGAGUUACUGGGCGUAAAGGGUGUGUAGGCGGUUUUCUAAGUUUGGUGUGAAAUUUCCCGGCUCAACCGGGAGGGUGCGCCGAAAACUGGGAGACUAGAGUGCGGGAUGGGAGAGUAGAAUUCCUGGUGUAGCGGUGAAAUGCGUAGAUAUCAGGAGGAAUACCGGUGGGGUAGACGGCUCUCUGGACCGCCACUGACGCUGAGACACGAAAGCGUGGGUAGCAAACAGG